rnacentral:tRNA from 1 species
AUUUAAAUAGCUUAUAAAGAGUAUAAUAUUGAAGAUAUUAGGGAGAUUUUUUUAAUCUUUAAAUA